AGCUGUUCUAAAGGGUAGUGAGUUACCUCUAAUAAUUAUUCACAGACAUUAACAGAAUUUCUUGCCUUACUCUUUCCUCCUUUCUUACUAUUGCACUUGACUAGUCUUAA
ensembl:misc_RNA Y_RNA Y RNA